GACACCAGUCGGCGUCUCCGCGUCCUGUCCCUCGCCGCCGCGGCCAACGCUCCCCGGGCUGCUCCCCGACUUGGUCGCCAGAGAGGCCCAGAGCGACGGAGAUCCGGGGGCUGCGCCCUAGGGAGGAGCAGGCAGGGCAGAGUGCUCCUUGCGGCCGCGGCCUGGGCCCGCUACACGUCCCACCGCCCCUCAGUGUCGCCCACGGCCCCGCCAGGCCCCUUCUCCCCCAGGCGAACGGGAUCCGGCAGCCGCUCUUCGCAGUGGCCGGAGCCCCAGGACGCGGCUGCUCCCGCGCAACCCCGGCCGCACUCCGCGAGAGGGCCGGAGUGGGCGGCACCGCCCUGCCCGUCUCCUGGCCUCGCGGGGCCCGCAACUGCCGUUCCAGGAGAAGCGAGUCCCAGGACCGAGCCCGCCACCCAGCACUGGGGUCUCCAAGGCUUCCGAUCGCCCCCCCGGGACCCGGCCAGGCACUCACCUCCCGCGCGCGGCGCUAACCCUGCUCCGACACGGGCGGGCGGGCGGCCGAUGCUGCCGCCCCGCGCGCACACGCAGCCUCCCGCAGCCGCACGCACGGCCGGGCGCGCGCAGACCACGCGCCGAGGCCCGGGAGUCCGUUGCUCGCUCGCUCGCUCGCUCGCUCGCACGCACGCGCGGGCCCUGAGCCCCAGCGAGCUGGGCCCCACCCGGCCUGCUGCUCUACGCACUCCCUGGGUGUGGGCUCUGUCGCACCUAGCCAUCACGCUGCGUUCCGAGCACGCCGCUGUUAGGUAGCUUUCUGUCAGCCCCAGAGGACUGCCAGCUUACAGGCCAGUGGUCAGGAUGGAUUCCACUGCAUGGUCCCAGCCUGAUGCAAUGAGGUGGCUUGGCUGGUGUCUCAGUAGGGGACAAGGAGCAGCGCAAUUAAUGAUGAUAGCCUUGGUGUGAGGAAAAGAGGUGCUGCGCAGCCACCUGCAAGAGACAGACAAAUCUUAAAUCCCGGAUUAAAAUGAUGACAAGGUAAGAGACCUCCUGAGACACAGAUUAGAGAGCUCCAUAAAAUAAGCAGGCCCCUGUUUUCUGGAAGACAGUAAAAACAGACAAAUUGUCUUGGGGGAUGCUGGGGAAAGAUUAUGAUAUAGAGAAAGAAAGGCUUACAAAGCUGAAAGGCAUCUUGUACAAAUGUUGUCUCCUAGGAUGAUCAAUCUGUGGCCAUCAGCCCAACACUCAGUCAUGUAAUAUGUGAACACUUAAAUGCACAACAGUACAGGCACCAAAGGGCCUACAGAGCCAGGGGUGCACACAGAGCUAGUAUUUUUGAGGACCUAUUGUUUUCAAGGUACAUUGCUGGAGGCUUUGCAAAUACUGUUUAAUUUAAUUUAAUUUAACUUAAUUUUUAGUUCUAGACUUGUGUUUAGUUCUAGACUUCUCUGUCCAAUUUCCUUGCUUACUUUGUGCCAUACUCUAGAAUUCAUUACUUUUCCCUAUACACACAAGAGUUAGAGGGAACUACUUCCCUCUGGAAGUCAAUAGUUGAGAUGAGGAACUUGCCUUGUCCCCACAUGCUCUGAAUUUCCCUUAGCCCAGGCUUCUGACUCAUACUUCAUACCCUCAGUGCCUCUUACUCCUGUCAGCUCUGGGCUCUGAGGCUCUCAGUGAGCUCUUCCUGUUUCUCCUCAAGCAGCUGCUUCCUUCAACCAGAGCACGCAAUCUAUUUCCCAAAGCUUCACCUUUUAAACCUCCCCUUAAUGAGCUCUAUCAAAAAGACAUUAGUUUUGGGGCGCCUGGGUGGCUCAGUCGGUUAAGCGUCCAACUUCGGCUCAGGUCACGAUCUCGCGGUCCGUGAGUUCAAGCCCCGCUGACUGCUCAGAGCCUGGAGCCUGUUUCAGAUUCUGUGUCUCCCUCUCUCUCUGACCCUCCCCCGUUCAUGCUGUCUCUUUCUGUCUCAAAAAUAAAUAAACGUUAAAAAAAAGACA
rnacentral:lncRNA from 1 species